UACGUAGGGUGCAAGCGUUGUCCGGAAUUAUUGGGCGUAAAGAGCUCGUAGGCGGUUUGUUGCGUCGGCUGUGAAAUCCCGAGGCUCAACCUCGGGUCUGCAGUCGAUACGAGCAAACUAGAGUGUUGCAGGGGAGACUGGAAUUCCUGGUGUAGCGGUGAAAUGCGCAGAUAUCAGGAGGAACACCAAUAGCGAAGGCAGCUCGCUGGGACGUUACUGACACUGAGGCGCGAAAGCGUGGGGAGCGAACAGGAUUAGAAC
rnacentral:rRNA from 1 species